GGAGCUGGUCUACUGUUGGGCGGGUACCUCCUCAGCUUUUACUCUGAGACAACAGUGAACACAGACAUGACUCCAAGCAGUCCUCAGUGGGUGGGGGCCUGGUGGAUCGGCUUCGUCUGUGGUGGAGCUCUGUGUCUUCCAGUGGGCUUUGCUGUUCUGGGGUAUCCAAAAAAACUACCAGGCUCCCAGGAGACCAGCGCCACAAGUGAGGCUCCCGAGGGCAAAGAAGGC